CCUACGGGUGGCAGCAGUGGGGAAUAUUGCGCAAUGGGCGAAAGCCUGACGCAGCGACGCCGCGUGAGGGAUGAAGGUCUUCGGAUCGUAAACCUCUGUCAGCAGGGAAGAACGGUCACUGUGCUAAUCAGCAGUGAAUUGACGGUACCUGCAAAGGAAGCACCGGCUAACUCCGUGCCAGCAGCCGCGGUAAUACGGAGGGUGCGAGCGUUAAUCGGAAUUACUGGGCGUAAAGCGCUCGUAGGCGGUAUGUCAAGUCAAGAGUGAAAUCCCCGCGCUCAACGUGGGAACUGCCUUUGAAACUGGCAAACUGGAGUGUGGGAGAGGAUAGUGGAAUUCCAGGUGUAGGAGUGAAAUGCGUAGAUAUCUGGAGGAACAUCAGUGGCGAAGGCGACUAUCUGGCACAUAACUGACGCUGAGGAGCGAAAGCGUGGGUAGCAAACAGGAUUAGAUACCCGGGUAGUC
rnacentral:rRNA from 1 species